rnacentral:rRNA from 1 species
GCGUAAUAGCUCACUGGUCGAGUCGGCCUGCGCGGAAGAUGUAACGGGGCUAAACCAUGCACCGAAGCUGCGGCAGCGACACUAUGUGUUGUUGGGUAGGGGAGCGUUCUGUAAGCCUGCGAAGGUGACCUGUGAGGGUUGCUGGAGGUAUCAGAAGUGCGAAUGCUGACAUAAGUAACGAUAAAGCGGGUGAAAAGCCCGCUCGCCGGAAGACCAAGGGUUCCUGUCCAACGUUAAUCGGGGCAGGGUGAGUCGACCCCUAAGGCGAGGCCGAAAGGCGUAGUCGAUGGGAAACAGGUUAAUAUUCCUGUACUUGGUGUUACUGCGAAGGGGGGACGGAGAAGGCUAUGUUAGCCGGGCGACGGUUGUCCCGGUUUAAGCAUGUAGGCUGGUUGUCCAGGCAAAUCCGGAUAAUCAAGGCUGAGGUGUGAUGACGAGGCACUACGGUGCUGAAGUAACAAAUGCCCUGCUUCCAGGAAAAGCCUCUAAGCAUCAGGUAACAUCAAAUCGUACCCCAAACCGACACAGGUGGUCAGGUAGAGAAUACCAAGGCGCUUGAGAGAACUCGGGUGAAGGAACUAGGCAAAAUGGUGCCGUAACUUCGGGAGAAGGCACGCUGGUGUGUAGGUGAAGUCCCUGCGGAUGGAGCUGAGACCAGUCGAAGAUACCAGCUGGCUGCAACUGUUUAUUAAAAACACAGCACUGUGCAAACACGAAAGUGGACGUAUACGGUGUGACGCCUGCCCGGUGCCGGAAGGUUAAUUGAUGGG